rnacentral:rRNA from 1 species
GAAAGAGGGUGCAAGCGUUACUCGGAAUCACUGGGCGUAAAGGGCGCGUAGGCGGCCUAGCAAGUCUGGUGUGAAAGCCCAGGGCUCAACCCUGGAAGGGCACUGGAAACUGUUAGGCUUGAGUUCCGGAGAGGAGGGGGGAAUUCCCGGUGUAGCGGUGAAAUGCGUAGAUAUCGGGAGGAAUACCGGUGGCGAAGGCGCCCCUCUGGACGGAAACUGACGCUGAGGCGCGAAAGCGUGGGGAGCAAACAGG